UAGAGUUUGAUCCUGGCUCAGGAUGAACGCUAGCGACAGGCUUAACACAUGCAAGUCGAGGGGCAGCGGGGUAGGAAGCUUGCUUUCUGCCGCCGGCGACCGGCGCACGGGUGAGUAACACGUAUGCAACCUGGCCGUGACAGAUGGAUAACCGGGAGAAAUCCCGCCUAAUACAACAUAAUGCCGGGAGGGGACAUCCCCUGCCGGCCAAAGGGGGCGACCCCGGUCAUGGAUGGGCAUGCGGCGCAUUAGGUAGUUGGUGGGGCAACGGCCCACCAAGCCGACGAUGCGUAGGGGUUCUGAGAGGAAGGUCCCCCACAUUGGAACUGAGACGCGGUCCAAACUCCUACGGGAGGCAGCAGUGAGGAAUAUUGGUCAAUGGCCGGAAGGCUGAACCAGCCAAGUCGCGUGAGGGAAUAAGGCCCUACGGGUCGUAAACCUCUUUUGCCAGGGAGCAAUGCCGUCCACGUGUGGACGGAAGGAGAGUACCUGGAGAAAAAGCAUCGGCUAACUCCGUGCCAGCAGCCGCGGUAAUACGGAGGAUGCGAGCGUUAUCCGGAUUUAUUGGGUUUAAAGGGUGCGUAGGCGGCCUGCCAAGUCAGCGGUAAAAUUGCGGGGCUCAACCCCGUACAGCCGUUGAAACUGCCGGGCUCGAGUGGGCGAGAAGUAUGCGGAAUGCGUGGUGUAGCGGUGAAAUGCAUAGAUAUCACGCAGAACCCCGAUUGCGAAGGCAGCAUACCGGCGCCCGACUGACGCUGAGGCACGAAAGUGCGGGGAUCAAACAGGAUUAGAUACCCUGGUAGUCCGCACAGU
rnacentral:rRNA from 1 species